CGAAGAGUGUGUGGCGGGUAGUUUUAGCACGUAGGCGCCACGGAUGGUGAAUCGUACAUGCUCCUGGCGCGAAUCAGCAGUAUCUUUCGAAGAUUUCUAUCUGCUUCG
rfam:Glossina austeni unplaced genomic scaffold Scaffold499, whole genome shotgun sequence.